rnacentral:tRNA from 2 species
GCUGACAUAGCUCAGUUGGCUAGAGCAGUUGAUUUGUAAUCAACAGGCCCGGGGUUCAAAUCCUCGUGUCAGCACCA